CGAGGCAUGGCGCAGUUUGGUAGCGCACAUGGUUUGGGACCAUGGGGUCGGGGGUUCGAGUCCCUCUGCCUCGA
rnacentral:tRNA from 1 species